UUUUUUUUUUUUGCGUGCUGCAAACCCACAAUAGGUUUACCAUAUGCAUAAUCGCAGGUAUUAACAGAUUUCAACAAUGAUUAUACAAUACAUGUGUCAGAGCUUAGCACAAAUUUUUCUUUUAGUUAUAACAAGCAGAUAAUCCUAGGUGGUGAGUAAGGUCUAGAAUAUGUGCAGCUAACGUAUGAGAUUGUGGUUUUGUUACCUGGGUCGUGUUGCAGCGUUCUGGCCCGGUGUGAGUGUUAUCAUCGGGCUGGUCGUGGUUCUGGUUCCUUGCUUAGGUCAGUAUGGGUUUGGUAGAGGUUGCAAUGCUGGUUGUGGAGUCCUGUGAGUAAGUCUUCAGUAUGCUCUACCUCUCGGUAGAGGUGUAG